rnacentral:rRNA from 1 species
UACGAAGGGUGCAAGCGUUACUCGGAAUUACUGGGCGUAAAGCGUGCGUAGGCGGUUUGUUAAGUCUGUCGUGAAAGCCCCGGGCUCAACCUGGGAAUGGCAUUUGGGACUGCAAGGCUCGAGUGCGGCAGAGGAGACUGGAAUUCCUGGUGUAGCAGUGAAAUGCGUAGAUAUCAGGAGGAACACCGAUGGCGAAGGCAGGUCUCUGGGCUGACACUGACGCUCAUGCACGAAAGCGUGGGGAGCAAACAGG